CCUACGGGAGGCAGCAGUGAGGAAUAUUGGUCAAUGGAAGAGAGUCUGAACCAGCCAAGUAGCGUGAAGGAUGACUGCCCUAUGGGUUGUAAACUUCUUUUAUAUGGGAAUAAAACAGGGUAUGCAUACCCUCUUGUAUGUACCAUAUGAAUAAGGAUCGGCUAACUCCGUGCCAGCAGCCGCGGUAAUACGGAGGAUCCGAGCGUUAUCCGGGUUUAUUGGGUUUAAAGGGAGCGUAGGUGGAUUGUUAAGUCAGUUGUGAAAGUUUGCGGCUCAACCGUAAAAUUGCAGUUGAAACUGGCAGUCGUGAGUACAGUAGAGGUGGGCGGAAUUCGUGGUGUAGCGGUGAAAUGCUUAGAUAUCACGAAGAACUCCGAUUGCGAAGGCAGCUCACUGGACUGCAACUGACACUGAUGCUCGAAAGUGUGGGUAUCAAACAGGAUUAGAUACCCCAGUAGUC
rnacentral:rRNA from 1 species